rnacentral:lncRNA from 1 species
AAAAAAUGUAGACUUGCAUGUCAAAUUCCCCACUUUAGAGGAAGUGGCCGGCCAUGAUGGUAUGGGAUACAAAAUAUAUGCAUUUUGUAUUAAUAUUAUAAUGACUACAUGGUUUUAUAAUAGGAAAUAAGUAUUAGAAAAAAAAGAAGGCCAUACAUCCUUGCGUUGUUCAUGUGAAUGUUUGAGAAAGAAUGGAGAAAAAUGCUUUGAGGAUUUCGGCAAUGGAGCAAGCUCAAAAUCUAAGGUAGAACAAAAGGGCUCUUUAAUAUUUGGC